ensembl:lncRNA
AUGAUGAUGAAACUAAUGGCUCCAGCCUUUUCUAACGGCUCAAGAAUCAUCUGCGCUUCCAGAUGCCACGUGACACACGUCGACACCGCAGGCCGUAAUGCAGCGGGGCCGCUGUUGAUUUGGCUCGCGCUUUAUUCUGAGUGGAUAAUGUGUGGUGGUGAGGGAGCCAGGGACCUUGUCCGAGACACCGAUACUGAGCGACUCUUCCUCAGAGUGAGCCAGUGAAGAGGAUCGGAUAAAGUGAGCAAGUGAGUGUGUUAAAUAGGGCUCAGCAUGAUCAUUUUCUAUCAGAGGAAUCUGACAGGCCUUAUGCUGAGUUGGCAGUCUGCUGGAGACUGGCAGGCAUGGCCUUUUAUCCUUCCACAUGUUUCACAGCAAUUGGACAAUCAGCCACUGCACUGAAAAUCCAUAGUAUUGAUCGGCCCUGUAUCUUCUCUAUAAUUCUCCAGCAGGAAAUCCCUGAUGACAAAUUAUAUCUUCACCAGUUUUUGAUUGGUGCUUUGAUGUAAGCGAUCUCCCAGGGCAGGCGAGGGAACAAGACCCGGGUUUAUUAACGCAUGAUGCCUGCCGCUACGAUCAGACUUCACGGUUACAACCACACGGCCUAGACUACCCAUCAG